GGGAUCUUCACCCCCACCGGCAGAUUGAUCUCCUCCUUCCCAACACUCUUUUACAUGUUUUAGAGUCACUAUGAUCCAACAGAUCAAGGGCAUUAGCUGCUUGGCACAAGAGGUCCAGAUUUUGUGAUUUGGAGCCAAAUACGUGUUUGUUGUUAGUUUGUAGUUAUGCCUAUGAGGAGCAAAUCAAUAUAUGUGCUUGCUUGCUACUUAUCUCGCCUAAUCUGAUUGUACUGGUUUAUAUUUUCUGUAAAAAUAUACUCAUUAAUCAUAGUCAGUUUGCUAAACAGAAAAAAUCAUAGUUUGUUUCAUCAUUGUAAGAACUAAUAUAUUCAGUACAAAAACUGCUCUUUGUAUUUUCAGUCCACCAUCAUUUUGUACAGAUUCAGGCAAUUGAUUUUCUGUACCAUUAGUGAUUAAUAUGGAGUCAAAUUUUAUUUACCAAGUUUUCUUUUGCAUCUCAGUAUUAAGUAGUUUCCAAACCUGGACAGUUUAAUAUGUCCACUCCCAACAAUUCUUAGUACUACUGCAGACUGAAGAGAAGAAGUGCUGAAAGCAUGAUUGCAUUCACUAUAGCGGGUUCAUUGUGUUACAGAGAAGUGCUUUCCCCAUCAUUUAUGAUGCUCACUGUUUCAUUGUCAAGUUGUGAACUUUUUACCAUCAUUUACUUGUUUGUUCGAAGGAUAAACUUUUGGUUUCUUGAAACUACAAGUAACUUGUGGCAGCUAUUUAGUAAUACCAUUGAUGCUCUGAAAUAAUAAUGUCUGUGAAGUCACAUAAUGUUUUCUAAUGACCUUUGUUGUACAGAUAUUAUCAUCGUAAGAGAAUUAAAAUUUCCUUUUCCUCCUAGCAGAGUAAGUGUUGCUGAUGGAGCUCAUUUGACUUAAUUUCCUACUGAUUUAACCCAUUUUGAGGGGCUUCAGGUAGUGUCUCGCCUACAGACCAAGUUGGAGAAAGUUAAAAGACGCUUUCAGAUGAGAAUGAUCAUGCUUCUGAUCCUUUGUAAUAUAACUACUGUGUCAACAACUUCUCAAUGAUUGUCAUGGAAAAGCAGAUCGAGAGGAGGCGGUCAUUUCAGUAUAGAGAGGUGAUGGCUUGAGAUUCAUCACUGGCCACCUAUGGCAAGUCCAAACUAGAUACAUCAACUGUUAAACCUACAUGGAAAAAGUAACGCUACACAAGAUAUUUGCGAGAUUUUUGUGCUACUGUAUGAGCCAUAUUUGGAAAUCUACAGACUGCAGUAUAGGAGGUGCAAGGAAAAAAUUAUGAAGAAAUCUAUUUGUGAGGUUCGGGUGAUCUGUUAAUGUGCUAAAUCAGAUGGUGCAUUAAUGGUAUUUGAGCAAUUAACAUCUACUCUAUACGUGUAAAUUUUACAUGCUGAAUAUGGAUUUCUUAUUUGGGGAGUUGCAGACCCAAUUAUCAUGGACAUGUAUCUCUAUAAGUUUACCAAAAAAUCAAACAGGUCUGGGCUGGAUGGCAAGUGAAGAUAAAUCAAGUAAAUACUUUUCAUAUUUUCCUUUCAGUCAAUGGGGUGCAUUUAAAUGCAAUACCAGCCCUUGAAAGAUUAAAAGAAAGUGGUCAUCUUGCUGGACAUAUUUGCUUGGGUGCUAUCGUGGGCGAUAUAUCCACUUUUUUCGGUUAAGAUUCAACUAUUCUUUCUCGGGACAAGCAGGAGAUGAUGGGAGUGAAGGCACUCCCGUGUUUCACAUGGAUGUUUUGCGAUCUGGUCGUACUGUGAUUAUUGGUCCUAUGGCAUGCCUCUGCCGUGGUUGCGAGGGAAUGGAAAAGCAAUUAUAUGGCAAUUAUCAAUUUUCGCUUGGUGAUCAUAGGCAAUUCUUUGGUGUUUAGUAGUUUAUGUCAAGAUUGUAGGAUACUUUUUUAUACACCGGAGGAAGAGCUCGCUAAUUUGGUUCACAUCCUCAUAUAUUUUGUUAGCAUUUCAUUUCAGAAUAUCUGAUUUUCGGCAUAUUUUUCUGUAAAGAUUACAAAAAAAUCAGUCAUUUGUUAAAUAUUGUCUUCUAUAGUGCCAAAGGCAAGCUGAGCCAGAAGGCAAGCUUGCUUCUUCACAUGUGUUUUUGUGGUAAAGCUUACAAGCAACUUCUGUCAUGUGUCAUCUAAAGAAUGUUGCCUUCUAUAGUUCAGUGACGUGAAGCACGAUACCAAAGUUGGUUGCUUCUGUUAUUUAAGUGUGUCAUUGUACUCUGGUAUUAGUGGGUUAUUAGUAAUUCCCAAUCUGAGUAUAUAUUUGUUGGACAAGGUUGUAUAAUAUAUGGGCCAGAAUAUUCACUGGUUUGCAAAGCGAACUUAUACAGAACUCAUAUUCAUAUUGCAGAAUUAUAAUGUAGUUUCUUCACAUGGAUGUAGUCCUUCUGCUAGCAUUCAGAUAUAGUAGUCAAUUCUUUUGGCGACGUUGUAGAAUAUUGUAGCUGAACAGGUUUGCAUAUGUUCCUUGCAUAUAUUUUUUCACAUGCAUGAUCUGCAAAGUUCCAUUUUGGUAAAUAGCACCAAAUUUACGGUCGAGUAGUUCAAUCAGUGCGGCUCAUGGCAGUUUUUUCGAGAUCCCUCUUGAAAACUGUUUCUCCUCUUUAUAACUUUGACAGACUCUUUUAGGAUUUGUUGUUGUUUACUAGCACAUUCGAGGGUGUGCGAAGAUGCUCCAUUUGAAGAUAUUGGAUCGGAAAUGCUCUUUAUUUCUUCUCUGUUAUGCUCUUUAUUGGAUCGGAGUAAUUUGAAUUGGUGUUUUGGAAAAUUUCACCUGAUGGGUGCUAGGGAAUGACUUUGCAUUGCUACUUUAGAUGGGAGCUUCACCAGAGAAAUCUGGUUGCUUUUGACACCACCAUAUUUUCUCGCCCCUAGUCUCUAAUAGAUUGGACUAAUAUGUGUGAAUUUCAUACUGGUUCAAGUUAUUAUGUUUAAGACAAUCUCAGUGUACAAGUUGCACCUUAUAUAUAUUAUCUCGCUUUACUUUGCUGCUGAAUUCUUCUGUAGCCUAUUCUCUGAGCUUGAUUAAUACAUCAUUUUACAAAAAAUCUUAUUAAUCCGAAAGAACUUUUGUCUUUUGAACUUCCUUUUGGAAUGACUAGGUCCUGUGUGUUUUCACUUACUGACUGAGACCAAUUAGAAGGUAGAAUAUAUGUUCCUCAAUGACGAUAUUGAUUUCAUUUCCUAGAUGUUGAAACUUCAAACCUCUUAAAGUCGGAGCUGCCUUUGGUUUAAA